AACAAAGGUCAGAGAUGUUUGUGUCGCGUAUGUUUUCUGCACGCAAGCUCGUUAAACAGAAACAAAUGAUGGGCGUAACGUCACACACUGUAGGAGGAAGUCAACCGAGAGACCAAAAGAGGAAGAUGUCAGAAGUUGUUUAAAGAGAAAUAAACCGUGUCUGGCUCUGUUACGCGAUCGUGUAAGAGGCGGUUUUUACUUCUAUUUUCCUCAAAGAUAAACUCCCGCAGGCUUGUGCGGGACACCAUUGCUCUCCUACGCACCUGUCUUGUGAAGUGGAUGUGCGAAAAUUGUUUCCAUUUUGAACUUCUAUUUCCUCAAAAGCAUUUAUUUUAAAUUAUUAUCAUGUUAAGUCGCAGUAUCAGAUGCCUUGUUUACAUUUGUAUUCAACAAUUGUCUGCAAGCUUUAUAUUGCUACAUUGUUCAAUGACGUUUAUAUACCCUAAAAUCUAAAUGUUAUUAAGCCUAUGCAUAUAUAGAGGUUAUCAUUUAUCUUUAAACCUUAUUUGACAUUGCAUGUUCCUAAAAUAGAACAUUUUCAUAUUUUCAUCAAAAUAUUAAGAAAGCCAUAUGUAGGCUAUAGAAUGAUAGGCCUUUUAAUUAUUUGAUUUUAAUUCAUAUUAUACUUUUUUUUUAUUUUAAAAAGUUUUACUAGGCCCAUAAAAUAAAAUAAAAAUACACACUAAAAUAGAAUAUCUUUGAGAGAUGAAACAGUAGAAAUGAAUCACCAAAUAACACCAGUUGCUGUCAAAUCUGAACCAUAGGUCUUAUAUGUUCUUUAUGUUUCAGACGGUUAACUCAGCUUUGGGCCUGUUACUAUGAAUAGAAGACUCUUACACUUUAUUAAGCUGAAGCGUGUUCUUGCUGCAAAGUUACAUUCAGUCUCCAAUAUGUGAUCAUAAAUACAAACAUCUUUGCUUGUUUAUAUUGGAUUAUGAAAUAUGACAACCUUUGGCUUUAGAUUAAAGGACUAGUAGUAAUUUCACGACUAGUUCGCAGCACUUUUCUUUUUUAAAUACUCAUCCAUCUCAGCCCCCAAAUGGGAAAAACCGGUUAAUAGUUCAUUUUUAAACUGUAAAAGUAGCAUUAAGCAUAAACAUCAGUGAAAUAAAUCGGUGUUCUUCUUUGGGUUGCCAACAUUAGUCACCAAUAGUGAAGGUCAAGAAAAACAAGAGAUGCUGAAUGUACUGAAUUAAAUCAAAGUUUUUAUUUUGAAAGAAAAACAUCGGGUUCAUUCUUGUCACAUAGUGGAUUACACAGGGUUGAAACUUUGCUUCAGGGCGACAUGUUGCACAACCUGAAGAAACCUGAGGUGAUUAAGACUAUUACAGUUUGUGAGGGGCCUCUUCUACACAGUGCUGCAGUUAAAGGCAUUAACUAUUGCUGAAAACUAAAAAGGAGCAACUUAAUGAACAAGUUUGCUCUUGUAACUGAUCUUGACAUUUUUGACUCUGGUAAUAGUUCAAGGAAUUUUUCUGAAAUCUGAAAAAAAAAAACAAGACAAUUGGUCCAUUUUUUUAAUCUUUUGUUUCUUUUUAUUUUCCUGCCUGAUUAUAAAACUCGUGAUAAAUUUGCAGCAUACUUAAGAAAUGCUCCAAAGAUCAAAAAUAGGUCUUUAAUGGUCUUACAAAAUGCCUUUUAGAAAUCAAUAAAGCAAUAUUGUUUUAUUCAGUGUUGCUCCAUUUAAACAAGAUAUGACAAUAAAUGUUCAGUUUCAUGUUUGAAUAGUGGAUUAUGAAUUUAAUUAAAUACAAUAAAAUGAUACAUUAAACAAUGUUGAGCUCAUAAUAUGUGUAUGUGAUACCAUUUUGCCCUUUCUUUCAUCAUAUAACUAUAAUAAUACUGCAAUUAUUGUGUUUUUUCCAAUGCUUCUUCAGCACAUGAACAUGCUUAUGAACUCAUACUGAAAUAAAGUGCUUCCGUCCAAAGCACAGACAACAAAGUAAAAAGGAAAAGGCAUUACUUAUUUUCUGUCAUCAUCUUCUACAUUCUUUGUGCAAUCACUCAAUCCCUUGUUGCAUAAAAGAGUCCCCAUUGUUGGUCUCCACCGUUGGAACGUCCCAGUUUUUCACUCCAUCCGUUUACGAUUGCAAGAUAGUCCUCUUCAGAGAAUUCCUGCAGUGGUUUGAUGAAGGUAAAAUAAGCAGCCAUAUACAUGUAGUAAUGAGAGUAGGAGUGUCAUUAUGGAUGCAGAGUGUAAGUUAAGUUGACCUUGUGAAUUUGACACAUUUUCUUUUUGUAAACGUGUGCGUGUGUGUUCCUACCUCAAUGAAUUCCUCCUUAAUGGCCUCUGAUCUCUGCAGCUCUGUCUUUAUCACCUGGAUGAACUGGGCUGUUCGGUCUUCUGCCCUAACAUUGCUGAAACCGGCUUCUUCAAUGAACUACAGGAAAAGACAAAGAAAAAGGAGGUAGUAGAAUGAGCACCACCUGCUGACGCAUGGGGACAAUUUAACAGCCUGGAGAGCAUCUGGCUAACACACCAUUGCCUUGACAGUCAGAAGCAGUUUUUGAAAAACGUAAAAUGAAAUAACUUGUCAGUACUCUCUGGGGGGGAAACUAUGUAAUAGGGACACUAUGUAAUAACCACCAUAAAUGCCAAUCCUUGUAUUUCUUCAAUUGGGAAAAACUGUGGCUCAGUGGCUUGGUGGAUUUAUUGCCACAUAAUUAAAAACAUUUUGGGAUAACCAAAACUUAAA